rnacentral:rRNA from 1 species
ACUAAAACUCAAAUGAAUUGGCGGGGACCCUGCACAAGCAGCGGAGCGAGUGGUGUAAUUCGAUGCUACACGAAGAACCUUACCUGGGUUUGACAUGUAGGUGGUAGCGGAUUGAAAGAGAAGCGACCAUUCGGGGAGCCUACACAGGUGUUGCAUGGCUGUCGUCAGCUCGAGCCGUGAGGUGUCGGGUUAAGUCCCGUAACGAGCGCACCCCUUACCAUAAGUUACAAGUGUCUAGGGGGACUGCCGGCGGUAAGCCGGAGGAAGGUGGGGAUGACGUCAAGUCAGCAUGGCCCUUAUAUCCAGGGCUACACACACGCUACAAUGGUUGGUACAAAGGGCAGCGAAGCCUCGAGGUGAAGCGAAUCCCACCAAAGCCAAUCUUAGUUCGGAUUGCAGGCUGCAACCCGCCUGCAUGAAGCUGGAGUUGCUAGUAACCGCGCGUCAGCUAUAGUGCGGUGAAUACGUUCCCGGGGCUUGUACACACCGCCCGUCACGUCAUGGGAGUUGGAAACGCCUGAAGCUGGUAGCCUAGCGCGGAAGCGGGGGCGCCAUCGAAGGCGGGGCCGCCAACUGUUUCUAAGUCGUAACAAGGUAACC